AACGAACGCUGGCGGCAGGCCUAACACAUGCAAGUCGAGCGCACCCUUCGGGCGAGCGGCGGACGGGUUAGUAACGCGUGGGAAUGUACCCUUUUCUACGGAAUAGCCAUUGGAAACGAUGAGUAAUACCGUAUACGCCCUUUGGGGGAAAGAUUUAUCGGAGAAGGAUCAGCCCGCGUUAGAUUAGAUAGUUGGUGGGGUAAUGGCCUACCAAGUCUACGAUCUAUAGCUGGUUUUAGAGGAUGAUCAGCAACACUGGGACUGAGACACGGCCCAGACUCCUACGGGAGGCAGCAGUGGGGAAUCUUAGACAAUGGGCGCAAGCCUGAUCUAGCCAUGCCGCGUGAGUGAAGAAGGCCUUAGGGUCGUAAAGCUCUUUCGCCAGGGAUGAUAAUGACAGUACCUGGUAAAGAAACCCCGGCUAACUCCGUGCCAGCAGCCGCGGUAAUACGGAGGGGGUUAGCGUUGUUCGGAAUUACUGGGCGUAAAGCGCACGUAGGCGGAUUAGAAAGUAUGGGGUGAAAUCCCAGGGCUCAACCCUGGAACUGCCUCAUAAACUCCUAAUCUAGAGUUCGAGAGAGGUGAGUGGAAUUCCGAGUGUAAAGGUGAAAUUCGUA
rnacentral:rRNA from 1 species